AAGUAAAAGUCGUAACAAGGUCAUCGUAGGUGAACCUGCGGUGGGAUCAUCACCAAAACCAAAAACCAAUGUUGGUAUAAAGUAGGUACUAUUUUCCGUACAAUUUGUAUGGAUUUUAGUAACUCUUUUUCCUUCAUUAACUUCGUGUGAAUGAAAAAACCUUUUCUGAUUUGUUGUUUUGGGCUAGCGUUACUGUCAAAGGUAUGCUGCCCUAACAAUGAAUCUAGUAUCAAACCCAUACAAAUAACUGUACAACUUAUAUGGACUUCUUUCAAAGAAAAAAUAUAGUAACAACUAUCAAUGGUGGAUCACUUGGCUCUUGCAUCGAUGAAGAACGUAGC
rnacentral:misc_RNA from 1 species